rnacentral:rRNA from 1 species
AUGUGUGAACGGAGGGAGUAUUUCCUACAAAGGUUGCUGGCCAGGUCCACAUUUCUUCAUGUCACUUUCUCUCGAUCGCUUCUUGUCCGUCUCUUGAAUGGCAACUUGUUCUAUUCAGUCAACAAUUCAACUAUAUUGAAGUCUUUGUCUUUCAGGGCUUCCGGAUGGCUGAUGUAUACUCCUGCAAUAAAGCUUUUGGGGUAUGAUUCGAGCCACUCGUGCUUCAGCCAAUCAUCCAUCGUACAGCUGGCAAGUGAAAUAAGUCUCUAUUAUUUCAACAGUUGGCUGCUAUCGGAAAGAAACCGUAAACUUGGCAACAUAUGGACUUCAGCGGUGCAGACAGACGGAGAAGUCUUCAUUUUUUCAAAAGAAACUGACAUCUGA